rnacentral:rRNA from 1 species
AAUAGAUACCCGGGUAGUCCACGCCGUAAACGAUGAGUGCUAAGUGUUAGGGGGUUUCCGCCCCUUAGUGCUGCAGCUAACGCAUUAAGCACUCCGCCUGGGGAGUACGGUCGCAAGACUGAAACUCAAAGGAAUUGACGGGGGCCCGCACAAGCGGUGGAGCAUGUGGUUUAAUUCGAAGCAACGCGAAGAACCUUACCAGGUCUUGACAUCCCAUUGACCACUAUGGAGACAUAGUUUUCCCUUCGGGGACAACGGUGACAGGUGGUGCAUGGUUGUCGUCAGCUCGUGUCGUGAGAUGUUGGGUUAAGUCCCGCAACGAGCGCAACCCUUGUUCUUAGUUGCCAUCAUUUAGUUGGGCACUCUAAGGAAACUGCCGGUGACAAACCGGAGGAAGGUGGGGAUGACGUCAAAUCAUCAUGCCCCUUAUGACCUGGGCUACACACGUGCUACAAUGGACGGUACAAACGGUUGCCAACCCGCGAGGGGGAGCUAAUCCGAUAAAACCCAUUCUCAGUUCGGAUUGUAGGCUGCAACUCGCCUACAUGAAGCC